GCACGGGUGAGUAACACGUGAAUCAUCUACCUCCGAGUGGGGAAUAACCUAGAGAAAUCUGGGCUAACACCGCAUAACACUUACGAGUCAAAGCAGCAAUGCGCUUGGGAAGGAGGUCGCGGCCGAUUAGCUAGUUGGCGGGGUAAUGGCCCACCAAGGCGAUGAUCGGUAUCCGGCCUGAGAGGGCGCACGGACACACUGGAACUGAAACACGGUCCAGACUCCUACGGGAGGCAGCAGUGGGGAAUUUUGCGCAAUGGGGGAAACCCUGACGCAGCAACGCCGCGUGGAGGAUGAAGUAUCUUGGUACGUAAACUCCUUUCGAUGGGGAAGAUAAUGACGGUACCCAUAGAAGAAGCCCCGGCUAACUUCGUGCCAGCAGCCGCGGUAAUACGAGGGGGGCAAGCGUUGUUCGGAAUUAUUGGGCGUAAAGGGUGCGUAGGCGGUUUGGCAAGUCUUAUGUGAAAUCUAUGGGCUCAACCCAUAGUCUGCAUGAGAAACUGCCGGGCUUGAGUAUUGGAGAGGUGAGUGGAAUUUCCGGUGUAGCGGUGAAAUGCGUAGAUAUCGGGAAGGACCACCUGGU
rnacentral:rRNA from 1 species